UGACCCUAAGCCGCGGGAUUUUAGUGGGGUGAAGCUUCUUCUUCACAAUUGCCUUGACAACAAUCCAUGGGACCUCACUGGUUUUGUGGAUUUGAUCUUGGAGCAGACAACUGUUGGUACAAUUGUCAAAUUGGAUGAGCAAGAUGAAGUAGGGCAUGUAGAUGAUGAUGAUGGUGGUCCUUUUGGCAUCAUCAGUGUUAUUAAUCUGCAAAGAUACCAGCAUCACAGAUGAAUUAAGUAACUCAAAGGGUUCUUGCUUGAAGCAUGUACUGAGGAAUCCACAAACAAAAAGAUGAAGACAUAUUUGGAAUGACAA